GCGCCCAUAGCUCAGCUGGAUAGAGCGUUGGACUACGAAUCCAAAGGCCCAAGGUUCGAAUCCUUGUGGGCGCACCA
rnacentral:tRNA from 1 species